GGAUUAGAUACCCUGGUAGUCCACGCCGUAAACGAUGGGCACUAGGUGUUCGGGGUAUUGACCCCUCGAGUGCCGCAGCUAACGCAUUAAGUGCCCCGCCUGGGGAAUACGGCCGCAAGGUUAAAACUCAAAGGAAUUGACGGGGGCCCGCACAAGCGGUGGAGCAUGUGGUUUAAUUCGACGCAACGCGAAGAACCUUACCUGGGCUAGACAACACUGGACAACCCCAGAGAUGGGGCCUUCCCUUCGGGGACUGGUGGUUCAGGUGCUGCAUGGCUGUCGUCAGCUCGUGCCG
rnacentral:rRNA from 1 species